GUGCGCAAUUCUGCAGCACAUAUACUAAAACUGAAACGAUACAGGGAAGGUUAGCAUGGCCCCUAUACAAGAAUGACAUGCAAAUUCAUGAAGCAGUCUAUAUUUUU
ensembl:snRNA U6 U6 spliceosomal RNA